rnacentral:rRNA from 1 species
UACGAAGGGGGCUAGCGUUGUUCGGAAUUACUGGGCGUAAAGCGCACGUAGGCGGAUUUGUAAGUCAGGGGUGAAAUCCCGGGGCUCAACCUCGGAACUGCCUUUGAUACUGCAAGUCUUGAGUCCGGAAGAGGUGAGUGGAAUUCCUAGUGUAGAGGUGAAAUUCGUAGAUAUUAGGAAGAACACCAGUGGCGAAGGCGGCUCACUGGUCCGGUACUGACGCUGAGGUGCGAAAAGCGUGGGGAGCAAACAGG